rnacentral:rRNA from 1 species
AGUGAACGCUGGCGGUAGGCCUAACACAUGCAAGUCGAACGGCAGCACAGUAAGAGCUUGCUCUUACGGGUGGCGAGUGGCGGACGGGUGAGGAAUACAUCGGAAUCUACUUUUUCGUGGGGGAUAACGUAGGGAAACUUACGCUAAUACCGCAUACGACCUACGGGUGAAAGCAGGGGAUCUUCGGACCUUGCGCGAUUGAAUGAGCCGAUGUCGGAUUAGCUAGUUGGCGGGGUAAAGGCCCACCAAGGCGACGAUCCGUAGCUGGUCUGAGAGGAUGAUCAGCCACACGGGAACUGAGACACGGUCCAGACUCCUACGGGAGGCAGCAGUGGGGAAUAUUGGACAAUGGGCGAAAGCCUGAUCCAGCCAUACCGCGUGGGUGAAGAAGGCCUUCGGGUUGUAAAGCCCUUUUGUUGGGAAAGAAAAGCAGCAGGUUAAUACCCCGCUGUUCCGACGGUACCCAAAGAAUAAGCACCGGCUAACUUCGUG